GUAGAAUAUACUUAAUUUACAUUAUUUACAAUACGCCUUUUAACAUAAAGAGUAGAAUAGUUAUAGAGUUUUAACCCAAUUGAACGAGAAAAAGAGAGCUACAGAAAUAUAAUUUCUACACUUAAAAUCACGAAAAAAAUUAUUGUUGUAUAGAGACUGGAGAGGAUAAGUAAUGUGGAACGGGGGGGGGGGGAAGUAGAUAUUCAUACAAACGAAUGCAGAAUGUAUUUUACAAACAGAUAGUUCAUUUGAUGUGGUACAAUUUUCGCCCGUGCGGUUUCCGCUCAUCAUCUUUUUCGUAUUAUUUCCAUCAGUCACCUAUCGUAAUUUUUACCUGUCGAAAUUACACAAUGUGGACUACCCAC